rnacentral:rRNA from 1 species
UACAGAGGGUGCGAGCGUUAAUCGGAAUUACUGGGCGUAAAGCGUGCGUAGACGGCUAUCUAAGUCGGGUGUGAAAGCCCCGGGCUCAACCUGGGAAUUGCAUUCGAGACUGAAUAGCUAGGGUACGGUAGAGGGAAGUGGAAUUUCCGGUGUAGCGGUGAAAUGCGUAGAUAUCGGAAGGAACAUCAGUGGCGAAAGCGACUUCCUGGACCAGUACCGACGUUCAGGCACGAAAGCGUGGGGAGCAAACAG